UGUAAAAUGAUUAGCAAUGCCAAGAGGCC
rnacentral:piRNA from 1 species